rnacentral:rRNA from 1 species
UCGGAGAGUUUGAUCCUGGCUCAGGACGAACGCUGGCGGCGUGCCUAAUACAUGCAAGUCGAGCGAACAGAAGGGAGCUUGCUCCCGGAUGUUAGCGGCGGACGGGUGAGUAACACGUGGGUAACCUGCCUGUAAGACUGGGAUAACUCCGGGAAACCGGAGCUAAUACCGGAUAGUUCCUUGAACCGCAUGGUUCAAGGAUGAAAGACGGUUUCGGCUGUCACUUACAGAUGGACCCGCGGCGCAUUAGCUAGU